GAUGAACGCUGGCGGCGUGCCUAAUACAUGCAAGUCGAGCGAACGGACGAGAAGCUUGCUUCUCUGAUGUUAGCGGCGGACGGGUGAGUAACACGUGGAUAACCUACCUAUAAGACUGGGACAACUUCGGGAAACCGGAGCUAAUACCGGAUAAUAUUUUGAACCGCAUGGUUCAAAAGUGUAUGACGGUCUUGCUGUCACUUAUAGAUGGAUCCGCGCUGCAUUAGCUAGUUGGUAAGGUAACGGCUUACCAAGGCAACGAUGCAUAGCCGACCUGAGAGGGUGAUCGGCCACACUGGAGCUGAGACACGGUCCAGGCUCCUACGGGAGGCCGCAGUAGGGAAUGUUCCGCGAUGGGCGGAAGCCUGACGGAGCGGCGCCGCGUGGGUGAUGAGGGUCUUCGGGUCGUAAGACUCUGUUAUUAGGGAAGAACAUAUGUGUAAGUAACUGAGCACAUCGUGACGGUACCUAAUCAGAAAGCCACGGCUAACUACGUG
rnacentral:rRNA from 1 species